CAGCGGUGCAGGAGGGAAGAAGGUGAAGUACUUUGGCCUGUAGCUGAUUGCAAGAGCCUUCAGGAAAGCAUAAGAAUAAAAUGAUAACUGUCUGUGAAUGACAAAAGACUUAAAGUGGCCAUGGUUGAAGAUCUGAUGAGAGUUCAUUUUAACUCAACUGACAAGGAAAUUUUGUUGCUUCUGUGACAUCCAACAUUUUAAGAUAAUAAGUAGAAUUAUGACUGAUAACAUUAUACCAGGACACGUCAUGAACGGCAAGCUGCGACUUCACCGUGUGGCCCCAGGUGUGCUGUGUAUCCUCCGUGAUCUCUUAACCAUGGAUGCAAGAGGCAUCUCCAAAGAGAGUGCAAAAGAUGCAGCCACACGAUCCAGAGUCACUCCCACAGACAGCCGCAGAAGACAGAUGUCAAUGAACACCCUGAGAGCUGGCAACAAUCAAUGAGAUGGCAGCCACAAUAUUUCUGUUCAGCUAACUACAAAUUUUGGGGUCCCCCAACCUGAUAGUUGGCUGCCUAUAGAUGCAGCCCUGACAACCCGGUGCCCCCGGCAGGCAGAAAGUCAAAUCAAGCUUUCAGACAUAAAAUGAGGCAAACAGGAAAGCAAUGGCUGUCCCUGGGAAAGAAAGAAUCAAUGACCCAUGAGUACUCAAGACCAAGAGUCACCCAAGAGUAAUACCCAAAGAAGUAGAUCCUUCCAGUGUUUUCUCCUGGACGAGGAGCGCUCUUACUGCCCUCAUCUGAUCAGACUCCAAGCAAAAUUCCGAGAGGCUGACUUGGUAAGAUUUUUCACUUUUGGCAAGCUUUGUCCAGCAUCCUGAGUUCUCAGCUACGAAAUGAUUGGGGUGUCCCAGCUGUCCUUUUGUGGUCACCAGAACUCCAGAGGGGGAAGAAUCCCACCUUUUCCUCUACUCUCUGAGGUUCAGUGGCUGAGGCCUGUGAAGCCACAAAAGACAGAUUCACAGGAGACAAGGUUUAUUUUGCCUGCAUACAGAGGCUUCCCAGAAAGCAAGUGAAAACCUAGAGAAGCGGGUAGGCCCCAGGGGCUUAUAGACCAUUUUUAUAAAGGGUGAUAAGUUGUGGAGAAGAGACCAGACAAAGGAAAAGAGGGCUUUGGUAGCUGUGGGAAGGUGACUAGGAAAUGUGUGGUAAACAAGGGUUGUUUAGUAAGGUUUGUCAGGCAGUCUCAAGACAUCUCAGGCAGUUAAGAGUUGCCUCUAGUUCUCCUCCUGGUACAGGAGAGGGGGCCACCUUUUCAAAUGGAAAUUUCCUUUACAAAUGGAAGGGAAAUUUAUGCUCUGCUCUUAGGCAGAUGGGGGAGGGCAGAGAGCUCCUGCUGUGUCUGCUGUUUCUCAGUUGCUUUCAGAUCAAAAUAAUCCUCAAGCCAAAGUGGCAUAUUUUGGAAUGGCAUAUUCUGAUCCCCUUCACAAAUUUCCAUGGUGUAUAUACCCCCACAUGGCUGAUUUCAAGUGACGUUCCCAGUGUGACAUCACUGCGUGUGGAGUUGGGAAGAGGUGUACACAGUGGCUUUCCUGAGCUGGCCUGAGCCGGCUCCAGCACACCGCUGUCUGUAUUUCCUUUCUUCCACACCAAGAGUCCUGGUGUCAGUACACAGGGACUGACAAAAUUAGAAUGUGCCCUAGCUGUUAAUUUGCUUUAUCCCCUGUUAUACAUGCAACAGUGUUAGAAUAACACUACUACAACAAUAUUGCUGCCAGGUUGCUUACUGAAAACAGGAAUUUGUUUUUGCUUUGUGCUCUCCAUUCUUCUCCCAUUAAAAAAAAAAAAGUUGCACUACAUCUAUUUUGUCAGAGUGUAUGGCUAU
ensembl:lncRNA